CAGCAGCCACGGUAAUACGUAGGGUGCAAGCGUUAUCCGGAAUUAUUGGGCGUAAAGCGCGCGUAGGCGGUUACUCAAGUCAGAGGUGAAAGCCCGGGGCUCAACCCCGGAACUGCCUUUGAAACUAGGUGACUAGAAUCUUGGAGAGGUCAGUGGAAUUCCGAGUGUAGAGGUGAAAUUCGUAGAUAUUCGGAAGAACACCAGUGGCGAAGGCGACUGACUGGACAAGUAUUGACGCUGAGGUGCGAAAGCGUGGGGAGCAAACAGGAUUAGAUACCCGGGUAGUCCCUGUCUCUUAUAC
rnacentral:rRNA from 1 species